rnacentral:lncRNA from 1 species
CAGUUAGUUGCUGCUUCAUGAGUGUGGGAGGGUGGGGGAGGUGCCUAGGAAUGCGUGACCUUGUGGACAGUGGGCUAUGGUAGGGCUGUCUUGGGGGUCUGAGCUGACUAGGAUUCCCCGUUUACCCACUUCUGGCCCCAGGAUGGGGAUGAGGCCACCGGCUGUCGGACACUUUGGGAGACUCACCCAUUUCCUGGACUCGAUCCUCCAGUGCUCCGGAAAGCUCGGCGAGGCUCAGAGCCUGCAGGGAAGCCUGCCAGCCUUUGGAAUCUGUGGGGCAGAGAGCCAGGUGGGCCUAGGGCUUGUGUGGUCACCACAGGCCCCGCCGCUUUGUCCUGGGCUGCUGACACCAGGGGACCCACCCACUGUCAGUACCUGCUUGACACUGUUCUAUCACAAUGUGUUCGCCUGCUUAUUUUUCCAAAGCACUGACUGGAGGGUGAAUCAGGGUUGCAGCCCCAGGAAUGAAAGUGUGAGGGUCCCUGGCUGACAGUCAGGCUUGACCCUGGGUAGCUCCGACUGCAGGCUGAAGAAGUCACAACAUUGUGGAGAACGUUAAGUCCCACCCCAGGGAGGCACGGUA